rnacentral:rRNA from 1 species
GACGAACGCUGGCGGCGUGCCUAAUACAUGCAAGUUGAGCGCUGAAGGAUGGUACUUGUACCAACUGGAUGAGCAGCGAACGGGUGAGUAACGCGUGGGGAAUCUGCCUUUGAGCGGGGGACAACAUUUGGAAACGAAUGCUAAUACCGCAUAAAAACUUUAAACACAAGUUUUAAGUUUGAAAGAUGCAAUUGCAUCACCUAAAGAUGAUCCCGCGUUGUAUUAGCUAGUUGGUGAGGUAAAGGCUCACCAAGGCGAUGAUACAUAGCCGACCUGAGAGGGUGAUCGGCCACAAUGGGACUGAGACACGGCCCAAACUCCUACGGGAGGCAGCAGUAGGGAAUCUUCGGCAAUGGACGAAAGUCUGACCGGGCAACGCCGCGGGAGUGAAGAAGGGUUUCGGAUCGUAAAACUCUGUUGGUAGAGAAGAACGUUGGUGAGAGUGGAAAGCUCAUCAAGUGACGGUAACUACCCAGAAAGGGACGGCUAACUACGUG